rnacentral:rRNA from 1 species
ACGCUCGACACCUACGGGAGGCGGCAGUGGGGAAUAUUGCACAAUGGGGGAAACCCUGAUGCAGCGACGCCGCGUGGAGGAAGAAGGUCUUCGGAUUGUAAACUCCUGUUGUUGGGGAAAAAGAGGAUGGUACCCAACAAGGAAGUGACGGCUAACUACGUGCCAACAGCUGCGGUAAUCUGAGCGGGCUGGCAAGGC